rnacentral:sRNA from 1 species
AGUUCCGGCUGUUUGUUCGGGAAGUGGAUCCGCCGCUGCCGGAGCAGCCCGGAGGGAGCUGCGGAUCGCGAGGCCAGUACCGACCCCGCCCGCCCGCGCGCACCGCCCCCGCCCGCCAUGGCCCGGGACUACGACCACCUCUUCAAGCUGCUCAUCAUCGGCGACAGCGGUGUGGGCAAGAGCAGUUUACUGUUGCGUUUUGCAGACAACACUUUCUCAGGCAGCUACAUCACCACGAUCGGAGUGGAUUUCAAGAUCCGGACCGUGGAGAUCAACGGGGAGAAGGUGAAGCUGCAGAUCUGGGACACAGCGGGGCAGGAGCGCUUCCGCACCAUCACCUCCACGUAUUAUCGGGGGACCCACGGGGUCAUUGUGGUUUACGACGUCACCAGUGCCGAGUCCUUUGUCAAUGUCAAGCGGUGGCUUCACGAAAUCAACCAGAACUGUGAUGAUGUGUGCCGAAUAUUAGGUGAGGCUGCACUCAGGGCCGGGUCGGGGUUGGGUGGGAGAGAGGCAGCCGGCUGCGCCCCUCAGGGCUGCGCUGACUCUGC